CGAACGCUGGCGGCAGGCCUAAUACAUGCAAGUCGAACGGCUCUUCGGAGCAGUGGCGGACGGGUGAGUAACGCGUGGGAAUGUGCCCUUUGGUACGGAACAACACAGGGAAACUUGUGCUAAUACCGUAUGUGCCCUUCGGGGGAAAGAUUUAUCGCCAUUGGAGCAGCCCGCGUUGGAUCAGGUAGUUGGUGAGGUAAAGGCUCACCAAGCCUACGACCCAUAGCUGGUCUGAGAGGAUGACCAGCCACACUGGGACUGAGACACGGCCCAGACUCCUACGGGAGGCAGCAGUAGGGAAUCUUGCGCAAUGGGCGAAAGCCUGACGCAGCCAUGCCGCGUGUAUGAUGAAGGUCUUAGGAUUGUAAAAUACUUUCACCGGGGAAGAUAAUGACGGUACCCGGAGAAGAAGCCCCGGCUAACUUCGUGCCAGCCGCCGCCGUAAGAC
rnacentral:rRNA from 1 species